rnacentral:rRNA from 1 species
GACGAGCUCUCCAAACGUUAUUCGGAAUUACUGGGCGUAAAGCGCACGUAGGCGGAUUAACAAGUCAGAGGUGAAAUCCCAGGGCUCAACCUUGGAACUGCCUUUGAAACUGUUAGUCUUGAGGUCGUGAGAGGUGAGUGGAAUUCCGAGUGUAGAGGUGAAAUUCGUAGAUAUUCGGAGGAACACCAGUGGCGAAGGCGGCUCACUGGCACGAUACUGACGCUGAGGUGCGAAAGCGUGGGGAGCAAACAGG